rnacentral:rRNA from 1 species
AGUGAACGCUGGCGGUAGGCCUAACACAUGCAAGUCGAACGGCAGCACAGUAAGAGCUUGCUCUUACGGGUGGCGAGUGGCGGACGGGUGAGGAAUACAUCGGAAUCUACUUUUUCGUGGGGGAUAACGUAGGGAAACUUACGCUAAUACCGCAUACGACCUACGGGUGAAAGCAUGGGAUCUUCGGACCUUGCGCGAUUGAAUGAGCCGAUGUCGGAUUAGCUAGUUGGCGGGGUAAAGGCCCACCAAGGCGACGAUCCGUAGCUGGUCUGAGAUGAUGAUCAGCGACACUGGAACUGAGACACGGUCCAGACUCCUACGGGAGGCAGCAGUGGGGAAUAUUGGACAAAGGGCGCAAGCCUGAUCCAGCCAUACCGCGUGGGUGAAGAAGGCCUUCGGGUUGUAAAGCCCUUUUGUUGGGAAAGAAAAGCAGCAGGUUAAUACCCCGCUGUUCUGACGGUACCCAAAGAAUAAGCACCGGCUAACUUCGUG